rnacentral:rRNA from 1 species
CAGCCGCCGCGGUAAUACGUAGGGUGCAAGCGUUAAUCGGAAUUACUGGGCGUAAAGCGUGCGCAGGCGGUUAUAUAAGACAGAUGUGAAAUCCCCGGGCUCAACCUGGGAACUGCAUUUGUGACUGUAUAGCUAGAGUACGGCAGAGGGGGAUGGAAUUCCGCGUGUAGCAGUGAAAUGCGUAGAUAUGCGGAGGAACACCGAUGGCGAAGGCAAUCCCCUGGGCCUGUACUGACGCUCAUGCACGAAAGCGUGGGGAGCAAACAGGAUUAGAUACCCCCGUAGUCCCUGUCUCUUAUAU